UGGAGCGGGGGGGCAGGAGGGGCUCAGGGAGAAAGUGCAUGCAGCCCCUGGCCCUCUCUGCCCUUCCGUCCCCUGCUCCUGGCC
rnacentral:pre_miRNA from 13 species